rnacentral:lncRNA from 1 species
UACUGAGGUGGUCAUAAACUUUAUCCUAAUUUUUUAAAGUUUACUGUAUAUACACGCCACUGCAGGAAAAAUGCUGUUCAAAUAUUUUUGACAGAUCUACAUUUACAGUGAUUCUAUCAGCAGUGCUGACUACAAUUCCAACUCUUAUACUUCCACAACAACCUGCACCACAUCCACAACCUCGUUAACUGUGUCCUGUCUCCUGUCCCGGACGUCUUCGUCGUCGUGCGAUCUCGAAAAGUCCAGGUUCUUACACAACGAGAACGAAGAAAACCGAUAAACGGCAGAAUUUCCCUGUCGCCUUCACCAGUCCAACACUCUUUUCAAGAAAUGAGAAACAAUCCGGUCGACCUGAUCUAAAAGGCACAGAAGCUGAAAUCCCCGCAUUAGUAAUCGAAUCAAGUUUUGUUGAAACAAAAACAAUCCUUCCGCCCCAAACGUCCACCUUGACCUUCGUAACGGCCGUAACGGCACUUCGACGGUAACACAGUGCUUACACCAACAUUCGGCUCAAGUAGAUGUCCAGAUGCACACUAGAUGGUAGUUCAGUGCACAUGCAUCAGCCAGCGCAGGUAAUGCAAAUUAAAUGCACCUCAAGAUCUCUGGGACUCCGGGCGGAAAUGGAUGAGCAGCUCCGCUUUAGCGUCUAGCGCGGACCGGGGCGGCCUUGGCCUUGGCGACUUCGGGUGUGUCCUGGAUCUGGGCGGGCGCUACCAAAUCGGCGAUGGGAGCGACGGGCAAGUCGUUGGAUCGAACGCGGCAUUGUAUCCGUAAAACUGCAUGAGCUUGGGCGGCAACAGCCAACACUAACUAUACGACCUCCUUCAGACUUGUUUCGGAUACUGUAAACAGUCUCCGUUUUACUAAUUUACAUUAAUAAGACGCAGUUGAAUGUUACUGGUGGAAUGAAAACAUAAACGCAAUAUAGAAAUUCAUUUUUUUUAAGUAAUUAAUUCCCAAUAUUUUGUGCCCUUCUUUCAGUACUUGUUAUAAAGUACAUUUGUUUCUAAACAUCAUUGAAAAAUACCAGAGAAAAAAGUUUGACUUCCCGUCAUAGCAGAAUCUAUUGAUUUUUUUAGUUAUAAAAAUUGAAAAUAAAUUUGCGAAUUUCUUGUGUGCAUUUAGGCGAAAUAUCUUGGUUUGUAAAGAAGAGUAAACAUGCCGAGCAAUAGAAGUAGAAGCAAAACUGCAGAAGUCCCCUCCUUUGACGAA